rnacentral:rRNA from 1 species
UACGGAAGGGGCGAACGUUACUCGGAUUUACUGGGCGUAAAGCGACCGCAGGCGGUCUAUUAAGUCAGAGGUGAAAGCCCCGCGCUCAACGUGGGAACUGCCUUUGAAACGGGUAGACUAGAAUUGUUGAGAGGAAAGUGGAAUUUCCAGUGUAGAGGUGAAAUUCGUAGAUAUUGGAAGGAACACCAGUGGCGAAGGCGACUUUCUGGCAACACAUUGACGCUCAUGGUCGAGAGCGUGGGGAGCAAACAGG